rnacentral:rRNA from 1 species
CCGCCGCCACCCUGUCGCCGGCCCCGUCGCUCUCCCACCCUGUCGCCGGCCGCGUCGCUCCCCCGCCCCGUCGCCGGCCCUCCCCGGCCCCGUCGUCAUCCCUCCCCCGCCCUGUCGCCGGCCCUCUCCCGCCCCGUCACCGGCCCUCCCCCUCGUCCACGACCCUCCCCGUCGAGGUCCAGGUCCGUGACGGAUCCGCCUACGCCGGCGUCUUCCACACCGCCUCCCUCGACGCCGGAUACGGUGUGCGCCCCCUCUCCUCCCUCUCUACCGUAGAUUUCCUUUGGUCUGGUUCGGGGUUGGUGUCGGGCCCUGGGAUCACGCGAAUGGCGCUCGGGCCGUGAUCCGGCUGCUGGGUGGAGAUGGUGGAUGCCGCGUGCCUAGUGCCUAGUGACGCGACCUGGUUCAUCUAUGUUUUUUUCCUGGGAUAAUGGGUUGUGAUCUGCUUGUUCAUCGACAGGCCCCGGUCGCCGGGAUGCCGCGUUUUGUUAGUAUUUCUUGCUGGGGCUACAGCCGAGGGAGAUGCAUAGUGGACGGCGGCAGAGCGGGUCGGCAGAAGCGUGGUCGGAGGCGGGGUGGUGGUGUGAUGGCUGGGCGGCGCGUGCAUGUGUUGCCGUGUUGGGGCUGUGGUGGCUUGUGUGUGGUCUCUGCUAGGGAAUGAGAUAUUUAAAGUGAGAUGAUUAAGAGGUCCGGCGCCUUGAGCUCGCACCCGGCCGUCCCGCGCCGCUAGAUCCCUCCGGGUAGCGGCUUCUAGUUGCCUGGCACCGCCCGCUCCUCGACCUCGCGCCCGUUCAGGGGCGCCUCGUGUCGUCGGGUGUUGAGAGCUGCAAGUACCUUAAAUAUGUCACCACAACCCUUCUCUGUUUCAUCCUCAUACUACAUCAUCAUACGCCGCCGUUGACUUUGUGCCGAACCCCCGGUUGGCAGGAAAUGAUUGAACUCGUGAUGCUCUUUCUUCCAGCGAUUUCGUUUGCAGCCUGUAGGUGAAUUUGUGUCUAUGCUCCGUGGUGUCGAGCUGUAAAUCUUCCGAUGUUAUUUUGUGCCAUAUGGGCAAACACUAAGUUCUGAGGAAGAGAUGUCAUAUGUGUACCAUAUGGACAAACACUCUACAUUCUAAAGGACGGGCAGAAGGUGCAUCCCCUGGAUUGUCUUACUUAACCUGGCAACAAAGAGAGGAGGUUGCAAAUAAGAACGAAGGGGAAUACAUGUCUGCAUUUUUCCUGACUGAGGUAUCAAGGAAAUUAAAUUUUUUGGAGGAAGUGCUUUCUUCAAUAUCAGAUUGCUAUAAAGGAUGAGAUGCUCCACACAUUUUGAGAGUUGAGAGGUUAGUUUCUAGCAGAGUUAGUGACGGAACUGAAAACUGUUUCAGCCGAGGUUGAGGAUAAAUCUUAUGCUACCACAUGUUUAGAGAUUGUGAUAAGAACCAAAAUAUCAAGGUUUAAAAAGUGGAUGCUUCGAGUAUGAUAGAUCCUAUGUUUCUGUGUUAAUCUAUUUCAAAUAUCUUUAAUCAGAGUCAAAGCAUGACAUGUUAUGUCUUGGAUCAUGAGUGAAGUCCAAUGUUGACAUACAUUUAGUGUUUGCUGAUGGUUCUAGGUAGAACUGAAUUAGGCUAAUCAAAGAAGCAGAAUUAAGUCAAUUAGUUUGUUACUUCCUUAAACCUUCUGAAUUGCUUCUUCUUUUCGCACGGUGCCACUGAGUAAGGUAUUGUUGUUGGUGGAGUGUGCACUCUUUUCAAAUUGGCUGCUAAAAGUUGAUGUGUCCAGGAUACCCUGGUUGCAUAAGGUAAAAUAAACGAAUGGCAUUGCCCUAAUACUCGCAGCCAACAUGGUCCACCACAUGUGGGUCACAAACAAUCAUGUUGAACCAUUGAGCAUUUUAAUAUUUCCAUUCAAAUUGAUUGCGAAGAAUGUUGGUGUCAAUGGCAGCAUUGUUACCGAGAAGGUUUGAUCUCAUUUACUAAUAUGAAGUUGAUAUAUUUCUGCAUAGAUCUAAAUAACAUAAAAGAAGAUGUCGUACCAGGUCCUUUCUAGCUGCAAGCAUGCAAUCCUUCUGUUCGGUAGUACGAGGACUUAAUGGCUGCUGGUAUCAUCGACCACAAUAAAGUUUAUAGCCACGUAGCUACCCAACACACUUGCUUGCUUGCCAUUCUGAAAUGGAUACAAUUGCGUAGUUAGGGUGAUGAUGCAACUUGUGGGAUCAUUUAUUCUACCUUUUUUAAUUGGGGCUGCAUUAUAUAUUUUAUAGGUAGAACAACCAUUUUUCUUUUGGGAGAUUUAGUCUUACUAAUUUGGAAUAAAAGUGUCCAGAUCUAAUCUUAUUAUCACCUUGCAUUUUAUCCAAUGUAUAUUUGGGAUGCCCCAUGUCUAUUUACAUCAUUGCUAUCUUUUGCCACUUUAUCCAAUGUAUGAAUUAUCUUAUCUUUGGUCCACUUUGCAAUUUUAAAUGAUGUAUAAUCUGGAAAAAAUGCUCUCCGCUCUGUGGGCUCAAGUGAGCUUAAGCUGAUCGUCCACUUGCAUCUGAUGGUAACAGGGUAAGAUGUAUGCAUAACUUCAAUUCUUCUCUUGCAUCUGCUCGGAACUUACAUAUUGGUUGUGUGUAAAUUCAUAUCAGAAAUCAUUUUGCAUAAAAACAUUGGUUAUCGAGGCCAGACACUGAUUCUUCAUCUGGUUGUUGGAUCACAGUGAUGUCUCACUUUUUAAAAUACAAUUUGAACGACAUGCUAUUUUGUAUCCAGUUUUGGCGGCGGUGGUGCUGCUGCUCCUAUGAUGGUAGACUCGUCUGAUUCCCCUAGCUGCAUCCAUGGUGACGAAGCUCGACCUAGGCUAGAACCCCCUCCAGUGAGCUCCUCAAGUCCUCUUAUACCCCUCCUACUUGCUUGUUGGUUCUAUGCUCUGCCUUUGUGAGGUGUAAUUGUUCAAUUUUGUUCAUAGUCGAGCAUUGGAUGAUAUUGUAUUUGUCAUGAUGUACAUGGUUCAUGAACUAUGCCAACCUUCAUCUUUGUUGUACUAGUCAUAGUAGGAUAAUGCAAGUUUUGACAAUCCAUGCAUAUUUCUGCAUCAUAAUAAUCUUCUUCUUCUAGUCUUCUUCUUCUAACUUUCUUCUUUCCCAUUUUACGGAUUUGCUUAAGAUCACGGAAGCUUGGGUUGAUGGAGUGCUUGUAUUUAGUUUUUGUUUUGACCUUGUGAAACUUGCUACCUAUGGAUGAAACUGUGUAAUAUUGAUGAAACUAUGUAUAUGUACGGAUGAAACUUGC